AGAGUUUGAUCCUGGCUCAGGAUGAACGCUAGCGGCAGGCUUAACACAUGCAAGUCGAGGGGCAGCGGGGAGGAAGCUUGCUUUCUCCGCCGGCGACCGGCGCACGGGUGAGUAACACGUAUGCAACCUGCCCCUGUCAGGGGGGACAACCCGCCGAAAGGCGGGCUAAACCCGCGUACAUGCCACCGGGGCAUCCCGGAGGCAGGAAAGGCUUCGGCCGGACAGGGAUGGGCAUGCGGCGCAUUAGGCAGUAGGCGGGGUAACGGCCCACCUAACCGACGAUGCGUAGGGGUUCUGAGAGGAAGGUCCCCCACACUGGUACUGAGACACGGACCAGACUCCUACGGGAGGCAGCAGUGAGGAAUAUUGGUCAAUGGUCGGGAGACUGAACCAGCCAAGCCGCGUGAGGGAGGAAGGUACAGAGUAUCGUAAACCUCUUUUGUCAGGGAACAAAGGCGGGGACGUGUCCCCGGAUGAGUGUACCUGAAGAAAAAGCAUCGGCUAACUCCGUGCCAGCAGCCGCGGUAAUACGGAGGAUGCGAGCGUUAUCCGGAUUUAUUGGGUUUAAAGGGUGCGCAGGCGGUCUGUUAAGUCAGCGGUCAAAGCCCGGGGCUCAACCCCGGCCCGCCGUUGAAACUGGCAGUCUCGAGUUGGAGAGAAGUAUGCGGAAUGCGCGGUGUAGCGGUGAAAUGCAUAGAUAUCGCGCAGAACUCCGAUUGCGAAGGCAGCAUGCCGGCUCCACACUGACGCUGAGGCACGAAAGCGUGGGUAUCGAACAGGAUUAGAUACCCUGGUAGUCCACGCAGUAAACGAUGAAUGCUGGCUGUCCGGGGGGAUUGACCCCUGGGUGGCGAAGCGAAAGCGAUAAGCAUUCCACCUGGGGAGUACGCCGGCAACGGUGAAACUCAAAGGAAUUGACGGGGGCCCGCACAAGCGGAGGAACAUGUGGUUUAAUUCGAUGAUACGCGAGGAACCUUACCCGGGCUCAAACGGGGAGUGACUCAGGCAGAGACGCCUGUUUCCCACGGGACACUCCCCGAGGUGCUGCAUGGUUGUCGUCAGCUCGUGCCGUGAGGUGUCGGCUUAAGUGCCAUAACGAGCGCAACCCCCGCGUGCAGUUGCUAACAGAUAACGCUGAGGACUCUGCACGGACUGCCGGCGCAAGCCGCGAGGAAGGCGGGGAUGACGUCAAAUCAGCACGGCCCUUACGUCCGGGGCGACACACGUGUUACAAUGGGUGGUACAGCGGGAAGCCAGGCGGCGACGCCGAGCGGAACCCGAAAUCCACUCUCAGUUCGGAUCGGAGUCUGCAACCCGACUCCGUGAAGCUGGAUUCGCUAGUAAUCGCGCAUCAGCCAUGGCGCGGUGAAUACGUUCCCGGGCCUUGUACACACCGCCCGUCA
rnacentral:rRNA from 1 species